CCUACGGGAGGCAGCAGUGGGGAAUAUUGCGCAAUGGGCGAAAGCCUGACGCAGCGACGCCGCGUGAGGGAUGAAGGUCUUCGGAUCGUAAACCUCUGUCAGCAGGGAAGAACGGUCACUGUGCUAAUCAGCAGUGAAUUGACGGUACCUGCAAAGGAAGCACCGGAUAACUCCGUGCCAGCAGCCGCGGUAAUACGGAGGGUGCGAGCGUUAAUCGGAAUUAAUGGGCGUAAAGCGCUCGUAGGCGGUAUGUCAAGUCAAGGGUGAAAUCCCCGCGCUCAACGUGGGAACUGACUUUGAAACUGGCAAACUGGAGUGUGUGAGAGGAUAGUGGAAUUCCAGGUGUAGGGGUGAAAUCCGUAGAGAUCUGGAGGAACAUCAGUGGCGGAGGCGACUAUCUGGCACAUAACUGACGCUGAGGAGCGAAAGCGUGGGUAGCAAACAGGAUUAGAUACCCCGGUAGUC
rnacentral:rRNA from 1 species